rnacentral:lncRNA from 1 species
GUUUAGAGCCAUUGGAGAGUAUUUAAUAUACAUUAAAUGCAUCAACAAUGGGCUGAAAACUAGCCAUUGCGAACUCAUCCAGAAUGAGUCAUCCCAUAUGAGUCAUCCCACUAUGACUGAAAAGUCUCAUGGGAUGCCUCAUUUAGCCAAUCUGAAAAUCAGACUUUCUAUUUUGAUCUUAGGAUCUCAGGGAUCGUUCCAAGUGGAUCAUCCCACUACGUACCAUAAGUCAAAACAGUGCGUGCCGGCUACUCAAUGAAAAAGAAUGAUCCAGAUAGAUCGUUCUAUUUUAUUGCAACCUAAUUUUUCAUACAUUUAAGAUUCGAAACUUAUCAAAAUACUUUCAAACACUCUCAAAUGAUGUCAAAUCAAUUGGACACUCUCAAAAAGCCUCGAAACCUUCUCAAACUUAUAGAAACUUCAACUUUGGCCCA